rnacentral:lncRNA from 1 species
AGCUGCGAACAACAAGCACGCCAGAGGAGACGAGAUGUCAGUGUCGAGGCGACGAAGAGGACUACACAACGAAAUGACGGAGGCGAUGCAGCGGUAGAGCAACGACGAUGGAGACGCGAAGGAGAUGACACCACGAUUAGACGAUAGCGGUGCAACGACGGUGCAGACGUGAAAGAGACAACACCACAACAAGGCGAAGGUGGUAGUGCAGCGGUUCAGUGGCAGAGCAUCGACGGUGGAGACACGAAGGAGAAGACACCACAACAAGACGAUAGCGAUGUAGUGGCGGUGUAGACGUGAAGGAGACAACAC